rnacentral:rRNA from 1 species
GUCAUAAGGUAGCUAAAUUCCUUGUCGGGUAAGUUCCGACCUGCACGAAUGGCGUAAUGAUGGCCACGCUGUCUCCACCCGAGACUCAGUGAAAUUGAAAUCGCAGUGAAGAUGCUGUGUACCCGCGGCUAGACGGAAAGACCCCGUGAACCUUUACUAUAGCUUCACACUGGACGCUGAUGUUGCUUGUGUAGGAUAGCUGGGAGGCUUGGAAACUCGGACGCCAGUUCGAGCGGAGCCAACCUUGAAAUACCAGCCUGGCAUCAUUGGCGUUCUAACUCAGGUCCGUGAUCCGGAUCGAGGACCGUGUGUGGUGGGUAGUUUGACUGGGGCGGUCUCCUCCCAAAGCGUAACGGAGGAGCACGAAGGUACCCUCAGUACGGUUGGAAAUCGUGCAUUGAGUGCAAGAGCAUAAGGGUGCUUGACUGCGAGACAGACACGUCGAGCAGGUACGAAAGUAGGUUCUAGUGAUCCGGUGGUUCUGUAUGGAAGGGCCAUCGCUCAACGGAUA